GGCGCGGGGUGGAGCAGCCUGGUAGCUCGUCGGGCUCAUAACCCGAAGGUCGUCGGUUCAAAUCCGGCCCCUUCCCU
rnacentral:tRNA from 1 species